UCAAUUAAAAAAUCACGUCAUAGAAGACAGAAAAAUAUCAAUCUGUUUUCAAGAACUUGGCUUUCAUAACAAAUGUGAGAGACUGUUUACCGUUUGACUCCUGUCCGAAUCUAACCUAGUGGGUUCAAUAAGAAAGGACCGCGCUAAAAACAUGAGGGGGUUAAAAGGAUCAGCCCUUUUUGAAUUAAAAGUCGAAGUCGUAACCAGCUCGUAUGAAAGGAUUUCUCGACGUGAAAUAGUUAACAUUAUUCAACAACGCCAAGAAACAGAGCUCGCUCAAGAAACAGAGGAGAA
rnacentral:lncRNA from 1 species